AUUAUUUUAAGCUAUAUAUUGGUAGUAAUUAAUAAUUUAUGAAAUCAUAAGAUUUUGGCGGUAUUUUAAGCUUGUUAGAGGAAUUUGCUCUAUAAUGGAUACAACGCCUUAAUCUUACUUAAUUUAGUUUAAAAGUCAGUUUGUAUACCACUAUAUUUAAUUAUAUUGAAUAAUAAUAUUUAAGAUUUUUAUAUAAAAAAUAUAUUAAGUCAAGGUGCAAUAAAUAAUUAUGAAUGAAGUGAAUUACAUUAAUUUUAAUUUUGUUAAAAUAUUGAAAAAAAUUUUUUAGGAUUUAAUAGUAAAAUGUUAAUAUUAUGAAUAUUUGAAUAAAGCUCUAAAAU
rnacentral:rRNA from 1 species